rnacentral:rRNA from 1 species
GGCUCAGAUUGAACGCUGGCGGAAUGCUUUACACAUGCAAGUCGAACGGCAGCACGGGUGCUUGCACNGGUGGCGAGUGGCGAACGGGUGAGUAAUGCGUCGGAACGUACCGAGUAAUGGGGGAUAACGCAGCGAAAGUUGUGCUAAUACCGCAUACGCCCUGAGGGGGAAAGUGGGGGACCGCAAGGCCUCACGUUAUUCGAGCGGCCGACGUCAGAUUAGCUAGUUGGUGGGGUAAAGGCCUACCAAGGCGACGAUCAGUAGCGGGUCUGAGAGGAUGAUCCGCCACACUGGGACUGAGACACGGCCCAGACUCCUACGGGAGGCAGCAGUGGGGAAUUUUGGACAAUGGGGGCAACCCUGAUCCAGCCAUUCCGCGUGAGUGAAGAAGGCCUUCGGGUUGUAAAGCUCUUUCAGCUGGAACGAAACGGUACGCGCUAACAUCGUGUGCUAAUGACGGUACCGGCAGAAGAAGCACCGGCUAACUACGUGCCAGCAGCCGCGGUAAUACGUAGGGUGCGAGCGUUAAUCGGAAUUACUGGGCGUAAAGCGUGCGCAGGCGGAUUGUUAAGCAAGACGUGAAAUCCCCGGGCUUAACCUGGGAAUGGCGUUUUGAACUGGCAGUCUAGAGUGCGUCAGAGGGGGGUGGAAUUCCACGUGUAGCAGUGAAAUGCGUAGAGAUGUGGAGGAACACCGAUGGCGAAGGCAGCCCCCUGGGAUGACACUGACGCUCAUGUACGAAAGCGUGGGUAGCAAACAGGAUUAGAUACCCUGGUAGUCCACGCCCUAAACGAUGUCAACUGGUUGUUGGGGGAGUGAAAUCCCUUAGUAACGAAGCUAA